rnacentral:tRNA from 1 species
GGGCGCGUAGCUCAGCGGGAGAGCACUCCCUUCACACGGGAGGAGUCACAGGUUCAAUCCCUGUCGCGCCCACCA